rnacentral:tRNA from 1 species
AAAUAGCUAGUCUAACACAAGACAACUAAUUUCGGCUUAGCAAAUCGUGACUAAAUCUCACGGCUAUUAA